rnacentral:rRNA from 1 species
UACGAAGGGGGCUAGCGUUGCUCGGAAUCACUGGGCGUAAAGCGCACGUAGGCGGCUUUUUAAGUCAGGGGUGAAAUCCUGGAGCUCAACUCCAGAACUGCCUUUGAUACUGAGAAGCUUGAGUCCGGGAGAGGUGAGUGGAACUGCGAGUGUAGAGGUGAAAUUCGUAGAUAUUCGCAAGAACACCAGUGGCGAAGGCGGCUACCUGGGCCAAUACUGACGCUGAGGCACGAAAGCGUGGGGAGCAAACAGG